GAUCCUUCUCUGUAAUCAUCCUAUCCUGUCACUCUGAUUCCAGACCUGCUCUCUUAUUUGUACAUAAAGAUUAUGGGAGGGCCGGUGGGGUAAAUAACUGAUCUUGACACAGGCCUUGGUAGUGGUGGUCAGCUGGUGAAGAGGCCAUACUUAAUCACGUUACGUAGCCUUGUCUAGUCGUCUCCUUACAGGAUUUGAUUCGUGGGAAAACCAAAUAGAAAAUUCAUAAGAAAAGGCAAUCGAGUUUGAUUACGUUUUUCAAGUAAAAAAAUCCAGAGAAAGUUGGUGAAUCGAACCCAGAACGAGCCAGAGAACUGUCAGUGCCGGAGGGGAGUUUUAAGGGUCAAACUGCUCCUGAUGGCGAUGCUUUAGCUAGCAGCGCCGCUAAUCUCACCAGUUCAGCAUCACCACCGGCACCUCCACUAUUUAUUAGGCUUUAUAGUUAACACUCAAAAUGAGUAAAACACGUCACAGCCCGCUCAUGGCUUUGAGCAAGAAAUUGACUCUCAGGAGUUAAAUAGAAUGGACCAGAAUGGCUUUCUGUGUACAAGAUUCCUAUCUCGUCAACUUGGAGAUUUAAUCCAGCAACCUUCCGUUAAUUGGCCCAACGCUCUAACCACUAGGCUACCUGCCGCCCCCAUUGUGGAAAGUUUUGAAAACUAAGACAGAUAGAGGCCAGUUCUGCAGCAGUGAGCAAAACCAGGCCAGCGCCGACCCGGCUAUAAACCGGUGGAUGCACAUCGCUGCCCUGGGAUUGGUGGUGGAAGACGGUUACUGUGGGGACGGCCUGUGUGCAGGGGGCUGAUAAAGAGGUAGCCGUUUAAAUCCAGCGGGACAGAACUGCGUUCGCCAGGGCUCUGACGGGGAUUUGACAGAUGAACUGCAGUCACCAGAUGUCCACGCCUCAAAACCAGAAACACAUGGAGACAUCACCUCUUGUAAUUCUGAAUAACUGUUAAUGUUUUUAUUGGUUUUCCUCUAUCUGUGCAUGAGUCCUUAAAACAUAGUUCAUUGUUCAAAAUAAGUCAUUCCCAAGUGAGGGACAUCUCAAGGAGAUUAACCUCCAACAUUCAUAAACUUGUUCAUUACAUGAGGGCAAUUUAAACAUGACAGCCACAGAUGUUUUUAUACACAGGACAGUAGUUUACAUAUUUGGUUCCAGCCCUUCACUAACACCUAAUUCAACUAAUUGUGGUCUAAAUUGAAUACUUGCACAUAGUGCAAUCCCCUGGGACAGAAAUAAUUUCAUAAAUUACAAUGUCCUGGCAAAUCUGCAUGAUAACAUUGUUAUCAAACAUUGUGAUGUUGCACAAUCCUGAAUAAUAUCCUGGGAUAUCAUGAUUAUCCUUGUGGCUGGGAGGUUCACAACAAGUUCUUUACAUCUGCAGGGUGUCAGGGUGAGAUGUCCUUCAACCUGGAACACGAUCAGCUGCCCGUUUUAGUCUCUGAAAACAAAUGGGGAAAAACUGUUUGCUACAUGUCUUCAGCUGGCUAGCAAAUUCACCAAUUUAUUAUUUAAAAACUGUCUGGGUCUUCACAAUUUACACAUGGCUGAACCUAUGAUUUGUUGUUAAUCUCUAAACAGCCAAUAAACAGGAUGAGAUUUCUUUAGCUAGCUAGCUAGCUUGGUAUCGGGCUGAUAAACACCAUUUACUCAAGGUUUGAAUUCACAUUUAAUAUGAAAGUAAAACAUUUUAGCAUAAUUUAGUGAAUAAAUAAAUUAUUCCUUAUUUUUCUGGAAAAUAUUAUCCUAAUCAGGGACUACUGUCCACCGUUAUUUUUUUAAAAAUUGCCUGCACUGCAAGGUGUUAUGGGAGAGCUUCCCCGGCGAAGCAUACAUGGGAUUGGAAAAUGCCAAUUUGGACAUUCUGCCUACAAAUGUUGCCUCAAAAGGCAGCAUCCUUAUUACAGCCAGCUGAUGUCUCAUUAAACCAUCAAUUGCAACCAUUAUUGGUCACCUCAUUACCACUCCCUAAAAGAUGCUGCAACCAUUGUCUUUCAAGAUAUGUUUG